rnacentral:lncRNA from 12 species
AUGCCUUUUUCUCCCUUCUGGCAAUUUUGUGCUCUUUUCUGGCUCUACAGCUCUCCCAAGCUGAAGGCACAAGUCUUGUGGUGGCUAAUGGAAGUGGUCUCCACGCUCCCCACCCCAGGCACCCGAAACCAGGACAGCCCUGUGCCUUCUGCUCCCCACUGUGGAGCUGUGCUCAGGAGCCCUGCCCUGCCUCGUGCUGACCUCAGCUCUGCUUCCCCGUUCUGUGCAGGUGAAUGCCCAGGCCCUUACCAGUGCCUUCUCUCCACACACCAAGCCUUGGAUUGGUCUCGCAGAAGCUCUGGGGACGCUGAUGCAAGCCUGGGCUGGAUCCCCCAAAGGGACCAUCCAGGUGGUAACACAGGGGACGCCCCUGAAGAACGCCGGCAACUGCCUAAGCCCUGCAGUCAUUGUCGGCCUCCUAAAGGACACUGCCAGUCAGGCGGAUGUGAACUUGGUGAACGCCAAGCUGCUGGUGCAAGAGGCCGGGCUCAGUGUAACCACCUCCCACAACCCCGCUGUGCCCGGGGAGCAGGGCUGUGGGGAAUGCCUGCUGACCGUGGCCCUGGCAGGUGCCCCCUACCAGGCGGCGGGCUGGGUGCAGGGCUCGACACCUGUGCUGCACGCGCUCAACGGAGCUGUCUUCAGACCGGAAGUGCCUCUGCGCAGGGGCCUGCCCCUGCUCCUGUCCCGGGCUCAGCAGUCUCCUCCUGAGAUGCUGCCCACCAUGAUUGGCCUCCUGGCAGAGGCAGGCGUGCAGCUGCUGUCCUACCAGACCUCGGUGGUGUCAGAUGGGGAGACCUGGCACGUCAUGGGCAUCUCCUCCCUGCUGCCCAGCCUGGAAGCGUGGAAGCAACAUGUGACCGAGGCUUUCCAGUUCCUCUUCUAAGCUCUGGGGGGCCUUUCGGAAGAAACCUGGCCACUGGGAUCCAGAGAGAGGAGGUCCACAUUCCUCAGCUGACACUGCUUACUCUGCAGACCCUGGCUGACCCCUACAGAGAAGUGAUAAGCGGCCAAUAAAGAGCCUACGCCCAA